GGGUCUAUGAUGACAAACUUAUGUCAUCAAGAGAGAUGGUGAUAUAAAAGUCAUGUUCCAAAGAGUGAUUGUGAAGCCC